GGUUCCAUUGUGUAGCGGUUAGCACUUCUGCUUUACACACAGAAGGUCCCGAGUUUGCACCCCAGUGGAGCCA
rnacentral:tRNA from 1 species